rnacentral:rRNA from 1 species
GACGAACGCUGGCGGCGUGCCUAAUACAUGCAAGUAGAACGCUGAAGGAGGAGCUUGCUUCUCUGGAUGAGUUGCGAACGGGUGAGUAACGCGUAGGUAACCUGCCUGGUAGCGGGGGAUAACUAUUGGAAACGAUAGCUAAAACCGCAUAAGAGUAGAUGUUGCAUGACAUUUGCUUAAAAGGUGCAAUUGCAUCACUACCAGAUGGACCUGCGUUGUAUUAGCUAGUUGGUGAGGUAACGGCUCACCAAGGCGACGAUACAUAGCCGACCUGAGAGGGUGAUCGGCCACACUGGGACUGAGACACGGCCCAGACUCCUACGGGAGGCAGCAGUAGGGAAUCUUCGGCAAUGGACGGAAGUCUGACCGAGCAACGCCGCGUGAGUGAAGAAGGUUUUCGGAUCGUAAAGCUCUGUUGUAAGAGAAGAACGAGUGUGAGAGUGGAAAGUUCACACUGUGACGGUAUCUUACCAGAAAGGGACGGCUAACUACGUG